AACGAACGCUGGCGGCAUGCCUAACACAUGCAAGUCGAACGAGACCUUCGGGUCUAGUGGCGCACGGGUGCGUAACGCGUGGGAAUCUGCCCUUGGGUUCGGAAUAACAGUUAGAAAUGACUGCUGAUACCGGAUGAUGACGUAAGUCCAAAGAUUUAUCGCCAAAGGAUGAGCCCGCGUAGGAUUAGCUUGUUGGGGAGGUAGAAGCUCACCAAGGCGACGAGCCUUAGCUGGUCUGAGAGGAUGAUCAGUCACACUGGGACUGAGACACGGCCCAGACUCCUACGGGAGGCAGCAGUGGGGAAGAUUGGACAAUGGGCGAAAGCUUGAUCCAGCAAUGCCGCGUGAGUGAUGAAGGCCUUAGGGUUGUAAAGCUCUUUUACACGGGAUGAUAAUGACAGUACCGGGAGAAUAAGCCCCGGCUAACUCCGUGCCAGCCGCCGCGGUAAAAC
rnacentral:rRNA from 1 species